CGAAACUCGACUAAUUCCUUACGCGUAGCACCAGACCACCGGCGUGCCCCACCAUGUCAGACGCGGCAGUGGACACCAGCUCCGAGAUCACCACCAAGCGGGUAGCUGAGGAUGAUGAGGAUGAUGAUGUUGAGACCAAGAAGCAGAAGAAGACUGAUGAGGAUGACUAGACAGCAAAAGGAAAAGCUAACCUUACGCACCGUGACCUAUUCACCCUCCACUUCCCGUCUCAGAAUUUAAACGUGGUCACCUUCGAGUAGAGAAGCAGGCCCCCGCCCGCCCACUGCGGGCAGUGCCACCCACACAUGACAUGCGCUCUUCACCACCCCACCAAAACCACAACAUGAAUUGGCAACAUGGGAGGAGAAAAGAACCAGAACUUCCCAGGCCCUGCUUUUUUU
rnacentral:lncRNA from 1 species